rnacentral:rRNA from 1 species
AUUGAACGCUGGCGGCGUGCCUAAUACAUGCAAGUCGAACGCAGUGGGGACGGGUGAGUAACACGUGGGUAACCUCCCAUCAGAGGAGAUAACACUUGGAAACAGGUGCUAAACCGAUCUGAGAGAUGGUACCGCGGGGCAUUAGCGAGUUGGUGGGGUAACGGCUCACCAAGGCCACUGUGCAUAGCCGGCCUGAGAGGGUGAUCAGCCACACUGGGACUGAGACACGGCCCAGACUCCUACGGGAGGCAGCAGUAGGGAAUCUUGGGCAAUGGACGAAAGUCUGACCGAGCAACGCCGCGUGAGUGAAGAAGGUUUUCGGAUCGUAAAACACUUUUGUUAGGGAAGCGGUAUCUAACCAGAAAGCAACGGCUAACUACGUGCCAGCAGCCGCGGUAAUAC